UACGUAGGGGGGAAGCGUUGUCCGGAUUUAUUAGGCGGAAAGCGCGCGCAGGCGGUCUCUUAAGUCUGAUGUGAAAGCCCACGGCUCAACCGUGGAAGGUCAUUGGAAACUGGGAGACUUGAGUGUAGGAGAGGAAAGUGGAAUUCCACGUGUAGCGGUGAAAUGCGUAGAGAUGUGGAGGAACUCCAGUGGCGAAGGCGACUUUCUGGCCUAUAACUGACGCUGAGGCACGAAAGCUUGGGGCGCUAUCAGC
rnacentral:rRNA from 1 species